rnacentral:rRNA from 1 species
CGGGAGGCAGCAGUAGGGAAUCUUGCGCAAUGGGCGAAAGCCUGACGCAGCCAUGCCGCGUGAAUGAUGAAGGUCUUAGGAUUGUAAAAUUCUUUCACCGGGGACGAUAAUGACGGUACCCGGAGAAGAAGCCCCGGCUAACUUCGUGCCAGCAGCCGCGGUAAUACGAAGGGGGCUAGCGUUGCUCGGAAUUACUGGGCGUAAAGGGAGCGUAGGCGGAUAGUUUAGUCAGAGGUGAAAGCCCAGGGCUCAACCUUGGAACUGCCUUUGAUACUGGCUAUCUUGAGUAUGGGAGAGGUGAGUGGAACUCCGAGUGUAGAGGUGAAAUUCGUAGAUAUUCGGAAGAACACCAGUGGCGAAGGCGACUCACUGGCCCAUUACUGACGCUGAGGCUCGAAAGCGUGGGGAGCAAACAGGAUUAGAUACCCCCGU